GUUUUUUAGCCCUUGCCCCGCUCUCACCCUUUCCCCUCUAGGAGUCCCCAGUGUCUAUUGUUCCCAUCUUUAUGUCCAUUUGUACUCAAUAUUUAGCUCCCACUUAUAAGUGAGAAUAUGUAGUAUUUAGUUUUCUGUUCCUGAAUUAAUUUGAGAUUUUUAUUUUAUUCUUUUUCUUUAUUUUUUUAAAAAACAGGAUCUUGCUCUGUCACCCAGGCUGGAGUGCAGUGACGCAAUUAUAGCUCACUGCAGCAUUGAACGCCUGGGCUCAAGCAAUCCUCCAGCCUCAGUCUCUCGAGUAGCUGGGACUACAGGUGGAUAUCAACAUGCCCAGGCCCUACACAGGAAACUUCAUAAAGGAAAAACACCAAGAAUGAAAAGAAUUCAAGAACCUUGGUUUGUAUAUCUGAGUGCACAUUAGGACAUUGAAAGCACAUUUAAUUUCAUGCAGAAAAUCAUCAUGAUAUCAUCACAAAAGACAGUUUUGAAAUCAGAAAGUGAAUACGGUAAAAGGAGAUUUAAAUCAUUCACUGCAUUACUACUGUGCCAUGCACAUAAUAGGCCUUUGGGGAUACAGAAUUUAAGAUGCUGGAUGUAGUCCUACAUUUGUAGUCUGUACAUUCCUGGGGGAGGGAGAUGGAUAAAUAAACAAGUUAAAAAAAAAAGAAGAAAAUUUAAAAUAGAGACAAGAAAAAUAAAAGAAAUAAAAGAAUGAGAUGUGGAAGCAUGGUGGUGGAGUAAGUACCUCCCCAAGAAAGUACAAUAUAAAUAUAUACAUGUUUAUGGGUACUGCAUGGAAAUUUAAAGAAAAUUCUGAAUGUGCUAAUUUUUCAUUAAAAGGGAAAGAAAAUUAUUGAUAUUUAUCAUUAUUCAAAGGAAAUGGUUGUUUUUCAAGAAAAACAGUUUUAGAUUAGUUCCUAACACAUUUGGUUGGAUCUUUCUUUGUUUCUUUCAUUCUUUAUUUCUUUUUCUUUCUUUCUUUCUCUUUCUUUCUUUCUUCUUUCUCUCUCUCUCUUUCUUUCUUAAAACCAAACCAACCAAUAAAACAAGAAAAACCCCAAAACCUCAUUUUAGUUCAGAUCUAGUCUAUAAAUAAGCAGGGUUUUAUGUUUCUUAGAAUUUAAUUAAUCCCUAGUAAAUUACUAUCUUAUGAGGGAUUUAGAUUUUUGUGUAAUGCUGUGCCCUUUAUUCCAAUCCAAAGAGUAUCCAUGUAUUUGGGGUUAUAACACCAGUGUCAAAAAGUGAGAGUAUCUGUUUACAUGAUGUGUCACACUUUUUCUCUCUCCACAAAUUUGCUUUAUUUUAAAAGCAAUUAAUGGGCUUAGCCAUUAUCUAUCUUCAAAGAGAUCUGAACAAUUAGGGCUAUCCUACUUUUUCCUUUUUUUCCCCCAUUUCUGAAAGAUACUACCUUUACCCUUGCUGUCAUUAAGAUGUGUUGCAAGAUCUCUCUGAGGUCAUGCUGUAAAGAUUUUAGCCUUAGAAAAUUAAAGCUUAUGAUAAUAUGUAUCACAGAAACUUCAAAGAUCCACAUUAUCAAAUAUAGUGAUUUCAAACCUCAAUUAACGUAGUUUUAUGCAUGAAUACAAACAAACACCUGAACCUAUUAAGACAGUGAAUUAAUGUAUACAUAAAUAAUUGUCAGUGGAAAAACAGAAGGGUUUAAUGUAAAUCUAUGGCUGAGGUUUAUUUAUUUUGUGGAUAUUUUUACUUUUUUAGUUUUCUUAGUGACAGACAGAUACAUAAAUGUUACAUACACAUUACGUGUUGAAAUAUAUGUCCUCUUCUUUCUUGAUUGUGUCAGUUCUAUUUAGUUUAUUUUUCAGAGGCUGCUGAGAGAAUUACUUCUUUAAGAAAUUGGGGAUUGAAGAUUCUGAGUGUUUUUUAGUCAGGCUCAUUACCCCUCUAUCUUUAAAUGAAAAUAGUAGGAUCAACAAGGCAUCUCAAAGGGCAUUUUGACUAUUUAUCAGAAAAUUGUCUAGGUGGUUAUUUUUGCACAUGAGAAAUUUUCUAUCUAGCAGUUGACUAUUGCUUAAUUAACAAUUAAGACUAUUGCUUAAUUAAUUAAUAAACAAAAAAAAGUUUAAUGAUGGGAGUGCCCAAGAAUAUUUGGAGGAAGUUUUUUACCAAAUUCAGUACUACUACACUUUCCCUAAAAGAUGUCACUGAAAAAACUUCAUAUUCCAUGUUGUCCUUCUAUUACUGCAAAAUAAGUGUUAUUGUGGAGGUUAGCUUUGCACAUGAACACAAAGCCCUGAACAUAUAUGGUGAAAGUGAAUUAAUUUAUUUAAGACACUUCUGUUUUUCUCAGAGAGCAAGUGGGAAUGUAAAGCAAACUUUUCCUUUCUUCAAAGAAUCUUUAAGGACAGCAAAUUGAAUUACAGGAUUCGUUACAUAAAUAGAUUUGUUUUUCAUUGGAGGGGGCAGAAUUUUAUAGGAGAAUGUGUUUAGGGUGAGAUUUGUGUGGUCACAGGAUGAAAAAGGAGGAAGAAACAUAAGGAAAAUUAUUUAUAGAAAACAAUCAGUAAAUUUGAGUCUUGACCUCAAGUUGUUUAUGUCAACAGAAACAUAAUUUGUGGACCACCUUAAUUAUGUUUUGCUUUCCUGUUUCUGUCUGGCUGCUUUAUUUGUCCACAUUAAAGAAGGA
rnacentral:lncRNA from 10 species